rnacentral:rRNA from 1 species
GGGGAAUAUUGCACAAUGGAGGAAACUCUGAUGCAGCGACGCCGCGUGAGCGAAGAAGGAAUUCGUUUCGUAAAGCUCUGUCCUAUGGGAAGAUAAUGACGGUACCAUAGGAGGAAGCCCCGGCUAACUACGUGCCAGCAGCCGCGGUAAUACGUAGGGGGCGAGCGUUAUCCGGAAUAAUUGGGCGUAAAGGGUACGUAGGCGGUUUUUUAAGUCAGAUGUGAAAUCGGUGGGCUCAACCCAUCCAAGCAUUUGAAACUGGAAGACUUGAAUCAUGGAGAGGAAAGUGGAAUUCCUAGUGUAGCGGUGAAAUGCGUAGAUAUUAGGAGGAAUACCGGUGGCGAAGGCGACUUUCUGGACAUGUAUUGACGCUGAGGUACGAAAGCGUGGGGAGCAAAC